CUAUACUGCGCUGUAUUCUUCUAUGUUCUAUGUUCUAGAAUCAUUUCGUAUAUCAACAGGAAGGAAAUAUGUGACUAAACAGUGGAAAUGUUUUCAAUUCUUAACAUUGGACAAUCUACAGAUGAUGAGAGGGAUGGAAGGGAAGGUACAUUUAAGACCUAGAAAUCAGAAAGAAAGGAAAAGGCAGAAGAAAUUAAAUCAACAUGAUUUCUCGGCUGAAGUGUGUUUAUUUCAAUACAGUGAAUAUUAUAGGUAAGGCAGAUGAGCUCAGAGCCUGGAUCAGUACAUGGGACUAUGAUUGUGUGGCCAUUACAGAGACUUGGUUGACAAAGAGACAGGAUUGGCUGCUCAAUAUUCGAAGGUUUCAUUGUUUUAGACAAGAUAGUGAGAAAGGUAAAAGAGAUGGGAGGAGUUGCAUCACUAAUCAGAGAAAAUGUUACAUUUGCACUCAGAGGACAUACUGGAGGGCACAUCCCCUGAGGCAAUAUUGGUCGAGUUGAAAAAUAAGAUCGGUGCAAUCACUCUGAUAGGAUUAUACUAUAGCUGCACCCCUCAUCAGCCACCAAGACAUUGAGGAAAAAAUAUAGACAGAUUGUGGAAAGAUGCAAUAAAAAUGGAAUUGUUAUGGUGGGUGACUAACUUCCCCGAUAUUAACUGGGACUCCCUAAAAGCAAGGACCUUAGACGGGGCAGAAUUUGUUCAGUGUAUCCAAGAGGGUUUCUUGAAACAGUAUGUGGAUAAUCCAACUACAGGAGAGGCAAUACUUGACCUUGCACUGGCUAAUGAGCCUGGCUCGGUGACUGACCUUUCACUGGGAGAGCAUUUUGGAAACAGUGAUCACAAUUUGUUCAGAUUUGAGAUCUGAGAGAAAGGAUAAGUUAGGACCCUCAGCAAGGUAAUAAACUGAGGGAGGACAAAUUACAUCAGUAUUAGGCAGGAGCCAUGGAGUGUUAACUGGAAGGAGCUGUUAUCAGGCAAGUCCACAUUUGACAUGUGGGAAUUGUUUAAAGACCAGCUGAUGAGAGUUCAGAACCAGCAUGUUUCACUAAGGAGGAAGGGCAAGGAUGGAAAGGUAAGGGACCAUUGGAUAAUGAGGAGGUUAUGAAUUUAGUCAAAAGGCAAAAAAGCAUAUCUAAGGUUUAGGAAGCAAAAAUUGGAUAGGGCCCAUGAUGAAGAACCCAAGCAUGGAAUUAGGAAAGCAAAAAGGGGCAAUGAAAUGAUCUUGGCAAGUAGGGUUAAAGAGAAUCCAAAGGUAUUCUAUGCAUACAUUAAAAACAAGAGAAUAAGGUAGGACCACUGAAGGACAGAGGAGGGAACUUGUGUUUGGGUGGGUAAGAUUCUAAAUGAGUACUUUGUG